AUGAACGCUGGCGGCGUGCCUAAUACAUGCAAGUCGAGCGAACAGACGAGGAGCUUGCUCCUCUGACGUUAGCGGCGGACGGGUGAGUAACACGUGGAUAACCUACCUAUAAGACUGGGAUAACUUCGGGAAACCGGAGCUAAUACCGGAUAAUAUAUUGAACCGCAUGGUUCAAUAGUGAAAGACGGUUUUGCUGUCACUUAUAGAUGGAUCCGCGCCGCAUUAGCUAGUUGGUAAGGUAACGGCUUACCAAGGCAACGAUGCGUAGCCGACCUGAGAGGGUGAUCGGCCACACUGGAACUGAGACACGGUCCAGACUCCUACGGGAGGCAGCAGUAGGGAAUCUUCCGCAAUGGGCGAAAGCCUGACGGAGCAACGCCGCGUGAGUGAUGAAGGUCUUCGGAUCGUAAAACUCUGUUAUUAGGGAAGAACAAAUGUGUAAGUAACUAUGCACGCCUUGACGGUACCUAAUCAGAAAGCCACGGCUAACUACGCG
rnacentral:rRNA from 1 species